AUUGAACGCUGGCGGCAGGCUUAACACAUGCAAGUCGAACGAGUGGCGGACGGGUGAGUAAUGCUUGUGAAUCUAGCUUAUGGAGGGGGAUAACUACGGGAAACUGUGGCUAAUACCGCGUACCAUAGGAUGAGCCCAAGUGGGAUUAGGUAGUUGGUGAGGUAAAGGCUCACAAAGCCGACGAUCUCUAGCUGUUCUGAGAGGAUGACCAGCCACACGGGGACUGAGACACGGCCCAGACUCCUACGGAAGGCAGCAGUGGGGAAUAUUGCACAAUGGGCGCAAGCCUGAUGCAGCAAGGCCGCGUGUAUGAAGAAGGCCUUCGGGUUGUAAAGUACUUUCAGUCGGGAGGCGUUACCGACAGAAGAAGCACCGGCUAACUCCGUGCCAGCAGCCGCGGUAAUAC
rnacentral:rRNA from 1 species